rnacentral:rRNA from 1 species
UACGAAGGGGGCUAGCGUUGUUCGGAAUUACUGGGCGUAAAGGGCGCGUAGGCUGUGCUGUAAGUCAGGCGUGAAAGCCCCGGGCUCAACCUGGGAAUUGCGCUUGAUACUGCGGCGCUGGAAGGUGGGAGAGGAUGGCGGAAUUCCCAGUGUAGAGGUGAAAUUCGUAGAUAUUGGGAAGAACACCGGUGGCGAAGGCGGCCAUCUGGCCCACAUUUGACGCUGAGAUGCGAAAGCCAGGGGAGCGAACGGG